rnacentral:rRNA from 1 species
GACGAACGCUGGCGGCGUGCUUAACACAUGCAAGUCGAACGAAGAGCGAUGGAAGCUUGCUUCUAUCAAUCUUAGUGGCGAGCGGGUGAGUAACGCGUAAUCAACCUGCCCUUCAGAGGGGGACAACAGUUGGAAACGACUGCUAAUACCGCAUACGAUCUAACCUCGGCAUCGAGGAUGGAUGAAAGGUGGCCUCUAUUUAUAAGCUAUCACUGAAGGAGGGGAUUGCGUCUGAUUAGCUAGUUGGAGGGGUAACGGCCCACCAAGGCGAUGAUCAGUAGCCGGUCUGAGAGGAUGAACGGCCACAUUGGGACUGAGACACGGCCCAGACUCCUACGGGAGGCAGCAGUGGGGAAUCUUCCGCAAUGGACGAAAGUCUGACGGAGCAACGCCGCGUGAGUGAUGACGGCCUUCGGGUUGUAAAGCUCUGUUAAUCGGGACGAAAGGCCUUCUUGCGAAUAGUUAGAAAGGAAU